UCGUACGCAAUGUUAAUCAACGUAGGGUAAGCCGGCCCCUAAGGCGUAGCUGAAGAGUGAAGUCGAUGGCAAAGAGGUUAAUAUUCCUGUGCCGCUUAUAUAAACGAAGGAAGGACGGAGAAGGUUAGGUAGGCCUGGCGAAUGGUUGUCCAGGUGAAAGUAUAUAGGUAGAGGUGUUAGGCAAAUCCGGCAUCUUGUUAAUCUGAGAUACGAGACGAAGUCAAGCUUGUUUGACGAAGCUAUUCCUACCAUGCUUCCAGGAAAAGCUUCUAAGUAAUAUUGUAUAAGCGACGGUACUGUAAACCGACACUGGUGGGUAGGUAGAGAAUACUAAUGCUAUGAGAUAACUCUGGUGAAGGAACUAGGCAAAAUGACACCGUAACUUUGGAAAAAGGUGUGCCUUGAUGGUGAUAAGACUUGCUCUUUGGGCUCUUGGGGGUUGCAUAUACCAGGUGGCUGCGACUGUUUAUCAAAAAUACAGCACUCUGGGAAAUUGUAGGAUGAAGUAUAGGGUGUGACGCCUGUUCGGUACUGGAACGUUAAU
rnacentral:rRNA from 1 species